rnacentral:tRNA from 1 species
GGGGAUGUAGCUCAGUGAUGUAGCACCUGCCUGGCAAGCACAAGGCCCUGAGUUCAAUUCCUGGUACCCCCC